CACCUGUAACUCACGUGACCCUGAUUAUUAUUGAAACGAGAACGAGGGCGUCGUGCCUUUAUAAGACUGCGUUAAUGUUUCCGUGGAGUUAUCCCUUCCGUUGUUGUUUAUUGCUUGUUAAACAUGGCGUCAUUUGCAAAGGUGGUUGUGUGUCUCCUCAUUGCUUGUGUCUGUAAUGCAUUCUGUUUUCCGAAGAGAGAUGUGAACUUUAAGGCCUCUGCAGUUGACCGCCAAAGUGAUGAUGUGGUUGUCACCACAACACCCGUUCCCCACAACCAGACCACAUCUGCCCAUACUUCAGCUGGUGGUGGUGCAAGUGAAGAUGCUGUGGCUACUACCCCAGCACCUAAUCCACACAACCAGACAACUUCUGCACAAACUGAAGUUACUGAUGGAGCCAGUGAAGAUGCUGUGGACCUCCAAAGUGAUGAUGUGGUUGUAGCCACAACACCCGAUCACCACAACCAGACCACAUCUGCCCAUACUGAAGCUGGUGAUGGAGCAAGUGAAGAUGCUGUGGCUACUACCCCAACACUAAAUCCCCCAACUACAUCUGACCACACUGCAGCUACCGAUGAUGCAAGUGAGGGUGCUGUGGCUGCCCAAACUGGAACUACUGUAUCCCAUACGACUGAAGUCUGAUUCGACUGCUCCUCUGGUCACAAUGACCUGAGUCACUGUCUGGACUUUUUGCCUCUACAUGUUGACUGCAAUAAAGGACAGAUUUGUUUUUUGAAUCA
rnacentral:lncRNA from 1 species